rnacentral:rRNA from 1 species
UACGGAGGGUGCAAGCGUUGUCCGGAAUCACUGGGCGUAAAGGGCGCGUAGGCGGCUCAUGAAGUCUGUGGUGAAAGUCCGGGGCUCAACCUCGGAUCGGCCGUGGCGACUCGUGGGCUGGAGCACUGUAGAGGCGGGUGGAAUUCCGGGUGUAGCGGUGGAAUGCGUAGAGAUCCGGAAGAACACCAGUGGCGAAGGCGGCGACCUGGACGGACACUGACGCUGAGACGCGAAAGCGUGGGGAGCAAACAGG